AGAAAAUAGAAAUUAUGUGAAUCGUGAUGAAACAAAUAAGUUUGUUAAUAAAAUUGAUAAUGAUAUUACAAAAAGUAAAAAUGAUGAAGAAAUUGUUAAACACGCUUCUUUUAACGUAUUUGGUAAGGUAAAUAAAGAAAAAGAAAGUGAACCAUUCACUUUUUUUUCUAGCAAUUAUAUGGAGAACAUGAAUCAAACAACGAACAAACAAUUACAUAAGAGUUGUGACGUUUCAAAUGUGAAAAUAGAAAACAGACAAGAGAAAAGAAAUUGUGAUGAUACAUCUUUUAGUGAUAGUAGUAACGGAAGUAACUGCACUAGUUGGUGUAAUAUUAAUGUUGAGAAUACAAGCUCUGAUCUAUAUAACUGCACUAACAGUGGAACAGACAGCACGAGUGAUUAUUUUGCGAAUAUGAAGUAUCAAAACUCUUUUUCUAUUGACUAUAGUUUAAGAAAAAAAAAAAAGAAAAGAAUAAAAAUAAGGUGUUUAUUUUUUAAGAAAUAUAAAAAUGUAAAAAUGGCUUUGAAACCAGAUGAUACUAUAACAUGUAGAAUAUACACAACGAAUAGAACACUUAGAAAACAUAAAACAAACAAAACUUUGAGGUAUUAUAAAAUAAUGAUAAAAGAACAUAACAACAUUUACAAUAAAAUAAACAAUAAUGUGAACUACGUAAAUUAUUGUAACAGAAGUAUUAAUGACUUAGUCCGUGAUAAUAUCCCUGAAUUAGGCUACAGUAAGGACAAAUAUAAUAACGUGAAUGUCUUGAAGUUUUGUAAAAAAAAAAAAAAUAAUAAAAAUGAUAUUACUAAUAAUUUAUUAUUAUUAUUUGGAUGCAAAAAAAAAGUGUUGUUUAUCUAUAAAUAUAUUAUAAAUUGUCUAAAAAAAAAAAAUAAAAAAAAAAAAAUUAAUUGUAUAUAUGAAUGGAGCAAAGAACAUGUCCUUAUAUUGUUGUAUUUGUUUAAACUGGAGAAAUAUAUAUCAAGUUUUAAUUAUAAUAAUAUAAAUGGUUUACUUUUUUUUAUUAUAGAUAAUAGAAAGUUUUUAAAGGAAUUUGGAAUAUAUAACAACUAUGAAAUUUUUUUUUUUUUAAAUUUCAUUAACACUUUUGUUAAUAUACAUAAUAUAUAUAUACAAAUAUUACUAAAAUGGAAUAAUAUAUAUAAAGAUUUUUUAUUUACAUAUGCUUUAGUUAAAUACAAACAUUUAUAUUUUAUUAAAAAAAUCGAAAAUUAUUGUUUGCACAGAUUCUAUUUUUGUUAUUUCUUAAAUUCCCCGGUUUGUUUAAAGCUUUAUUCAACAAAUAAUACAUACAAUACAUUGUAUAAACGUAAAAAUAACUCUGUUCAUGUAAAACAGGAAAAAUAUAAUAAAAUAGCAUUAACACAUAGUAACAAAAAUGAUAAAAAAAAAACAAUAAAGGAUAUAAAAAAUAAACAUAGUAAUACAGAGGAAGAAGUAAAGGCAAAAGCUAAAGUAAAAAAUGAUAAUGGUAAAGGCGAAAAAGACGCUUUUUUAAAAAAAAAAAAAACAAAUGUACAUAUUAUAAUAAACAAUCAGAAAAAAUAUACCAACUUGGAAAGGUUAAACACUAACAUACGCAACGAUAAUGUAUGUGGUAAUAAAGAGUUAGCACAAAUUGAUGAACAUACAGAAAAAAAAACAGAGCAACUACCUACUAAUUUUAACGAACUCGAUAGAGACAGCAAAUUUCAAAAUAACUUUUUAAACAAUGCUUAUAAUAUAUUUUUCAAUGAAAAAUUAAAAAAUAAUUUGUUAAUC
rnacentral:lncRNA from 1 species